rnacentral:rRNA from 1 species
UACGGAGGGUGCAAGCGUUAUCCGGAAUCAUUGGGUUUAAAGGGUCCGCAGGCGGAUUUAUAAGUCAGUGGUGAAGGCCCGUCGCUCAACGACGGAACUGCCAUUGAUACUGUAAGUCUUGAAUUCGAUCGAAGUGGGCGGAAUAUGACAUGUAGCGGUGAAAUGCUUAGAUAUGUCAUAGAACACCGAUAGCGAAGGCAGCUCACUAGGUCUGGAUUGACGCUCAGGGACGAAAGCGUGGGGAGCAAACAGG